rnacentral:tRNA from 1 species
GCCUGGCUGGCUCAGUCAGUAGAGCAUGUGAUCCUUAAUCUCAGGGUCAUGAGUUCAAGCCCUACGUUGGGCA